rnacentral:rRNA from 1 species
AUGGAUUUCCUUCGGGAUUGAAGCCUAGAAACUUAGCGGCGGACGGGUGCGUAACGCGUGGGUAAUCUGCCCUUAUCACUGGGAUAACACAUCGAAAGGUGUGCUAAUACCAGAUAAAAUCAAAUCUUGGCAUCAAGAAUUGAUCAAAGAACUUCGGAUAAGGAUGAGCCUGCGUCUGAUUAGCUAGUUGGUGGGGUAAUGGCCUACCAAGGCGACGAUCAGUAGCCGACCUGAGAGGGUGAUCGGCCACACUGGAACUGAGACACGGUCCAACUCCUACGGGAGGCACAGUGGGGAAUAUUGCACAAUGGGCGAAAGCCUGAUGCACAACCCGCGUGAGUGAUGAAGGCUUUCGGGUCGUAAAACUCUGUUCUAAGGGAAGAUAAUGACGGUACCUUA